CGAAGUGUUACCAACAGCGGGCAGCAAAGAGCCCUACUGAAGAGGAGUCAUUAAAGCCACGCAUUUUUGGAAGGGUGAUGUACUGCAAAGGCUGCGCAAAAUGAAGACGGAUGGAGAGAGGGAACCUUCUAUCUGACCGUGUGGUUCUUCACCUGUUGCCUUUCUUGCUUCAAGAAAAAAAAGGUGCCCAUACAGCAGCCAGUGAGACCUUUGUGGGGAACGAUGGCCAGAAAACAUCAGAGAUUUGAAGCCCUGGGAAGUGACAGUGCAGAGGCGAGGCCCAUGAUCAGUAUUAAUGAUGGCCCCAGGGGGUUGCUGGGUCCUCCUUAGAGAAAACAGUGAGUGCUGAUAAUAUUUUCACCAUUAUGCUGAUGUCUGAUCUUUCAUUUCUCCAUCAGCAACACCUCCCACCCCAUCUGAGCUCAGUGCCCUGAAGAAGAGUGUGCUUAAAGGUGAGGUCAAGGUAGUUUCAAGAGAUGUUAAAAGAAAAAGCGAGGGCAGGCUGGCAGCCAGGAAAGGGAAAAUUUGCCUCAUUGUUAAAGGAAGAAAAGAGUAUCAGAGGGCUUUUUAAAAUGUCAAGAGUGGAGUAUUGCUGUGUGCUCUUUGCUUAUUGAGUAGAGUUUGAGGGAGGUUUGCUUUAAAUAUACCUUCCAUACAAAUAUACAGAAACAUGUUUUUUAGCGAACUUUAAACAUUAGCUAUAAUAGUCUUUGGAUAAAAAGGCAGUCAUUAUUUCUUCGAGCUCACUCUCUACUGCUGAGCAAAUGUUCCAGUGUGGCAGGAUGGUGGCUUUAAAAAUAGCUGUUCACUCCAGAGCCUCUGAGUGUGGCUGGGAGGUUAAAUUAAAUGUUUGACUGUGAGCAGUCAUUGAUGUGGUCCAAGAGCCGCAGCCAGCAAACCCUCAUUUCACUGAAGCCAGUGGAAAUACGAGGUAGUGGGAAAAGCUUGCAGAAAGAGAGAAGGUUUGCGUGUCUUUGGAAGUUCCACGCCUUUUGGGAGCUAUUUUUAAAAAUUGCUUGCUGAACUGUUAUGGCACCUGUCAUAGAAAUCACAGGAAACUGGGUGGAAGGGCACUGACAGGGUGUUUUCUUGGGUGACAUACCUUUGCCAUUUCUAAAGGUACUUGUCCAAUCUCUUCUUAAAUGUCUAGAGACGGAGACCCAUGCACCUUGGCUCAGCAGCUCUGGUGCUUUGCUGCUCCCACCGACCCAAAGUUCUGCUGGAUUUUGUCCGAGUCUCCCUUGCUGUAACUUAUGGAUGUUGUUUUUGUCCUACCCACAGCAGAAAUGGGGAAAAAUGUAGUUGUUCCUUUCUUUGUCCUUUGAAUUUAUCCUCCUUUGGGCAGAACAGAUG